GAUGAACGCUAGCGGCAGGCCUAAUACAUGCAAGUCGAACGGUGUCCUCGGACAUAGUGGCGCACGGGUGCGUAACACGUAUGCAACCUACCUUACAUUGGGGGAUGGCCUUUCGAAAGGGAGAUUAAUACCGCAUAAGACAGUAGCUGGGCAUCCAGCAGCUGUUAAAGAUUUAUCGAUGUAAGCUGGGCAUGCGUCCAAUUAGCUAGUUGGUGAGGUAACGGCUCACCAAGGCAAUGAUUGGUAGGGGAACUGAGAGGUCAAUCCCCCACACUGGCACUGAGAUACGGGCCAGACUCCUACGGGAGGCAGCAGUAGGGAAUAUUGGGCAAUGGACGCAAGUCUGACCCAGCCAUGCCGCGUGCAGGAUGAAGGCGUUAUGCGUUGUAAACUGCUUUUAUACAGGAAGAAACGACUCUUGCGAGAGGCAUUGACGGUACUGUAUGAAUAAGCACCGGCUAACUCCGUGCCAGCAGCCGCCGUAAGAC
rnacentral:rRNA from 1 species